UGCCGCGUUUGCCCAGUUCACGGGCCACGUAGCCGAAGGUUUCGGCGCGGUUGGCGUCGCCCAUGUCGUGCGAGUCGGCGCGCGGCGCC
rnacentral:tRNA from 1 species